AUUACUUUGGCAGAAUAGUGCGUUGAAUUUAGAAUUCAAAAAUGUAAAUAUGUUUUACAUGUAAUA
rnacentral:tRNA from 1 species